CUGUCUCUCGCUCUUUCUCUCUCCUCCGUUGUCUCCGCCCCCUCUCUGCUGCUGCCAGCUUCGGCUCCUCUAAUCUUCCUCCUGCUCUCACCUCCCGUUCCUUCGCCACCCGGACUACGACAUCAUCGCUUAAUGAUCCGAGUCCUAAUUGGUCUAAUAGGCCUCCCAAAGAGACCAUCUUGUUGGAUGGAUGCGAUUUUGAACACUGGCUUGUGGUUAUGGAGAAACCAGAUGACAAUCUUACUAGGGAUGAAAUCAUUGAUGGUUAUAUCAAAACCCUAGCCAUGGUUGUGGGCAGUGAGGAAGAAGCAAGGAAGAAGAUCUACUCAGUUUCAACUAGAUGCUACUUUGCUUUUGGAGCUCU
rnacentral:misc_RNA from 1 species